AGACUUAUAGUAACUAAGACUCGUACUAUUUAGUACUACUUUAAUACUACCUUUAAACUAUUAGGCAUAAUGAAAUAAUGAUUAAUGAUUUCAGUGUUUUCCGCACUCGAGAGGAAUGAGGUUGCAGGGAACUUAGAGACUAAUCUUUGCCAACAUAUUGGAUUUCUGGUGAUGACAAUAGGAGCAGAUAGUAUGCGGCUCAGUUAAUACUAAAAACAAUUGAUUUUAGUAAUUAGUGGACUAUGAGUGUGUGUUUGGCCAUCCAGAUUUCAUAACUACAACUGAUGUUCAAUUACAAGGGAUAUUAAUCAGUCUCCGUGGACUAUACACUGUGCCUAGUUUCAUCCUCAGAGACUGAUGUGUAAGCUUAAAGUAAAGACAUCAAAGUAUCAGCUAUCAAGAGGAAGAACAUUCAAAAUCAUAUUGUGAUACACAAAUCAAGCAAGUCUAUGACCAGCAUUAUGAUACAGGCCAAGAAAAAGCUGGAUAUUUGAUUGGAAGGGUGGCACAAAAAAGAUGGGUUAUCACUAGGGAAACAAGCUCGGAAUACAGUUCACUGUUGGGACAUCAAGCCAAAUACUUCUAAACUUAUUUGAAUCAUUUUUGCUGUUUAUUAUA